AAAUAAUGAAAACUCUGUUAAGUAAAUUGUUUCAACAGGAUUCCUUUCCAGGUCACUCUGUCUAAAAACCCCAGCUGGAUGCACAGAGGAAUGUGUACUUCCUGUGGGGAAUGCUGGGGAGUAACCAUGCCAGUGACUGGACACUUCCAAGCAAAAGAAAGAUGUUGAUCCAAGACCUCAAAGGGAGUCUUUGUGCUGAAACAGACUGUAACCAUGUUGACUUAAAGAAAAACAGGUGACAUACAAAUAAGCUAGAAGGAGCAAAAUCACUGAACACCUGUAACACGAAAACAAUUCCAACACAUCGCGAACAGGAUGCCUUUGCCUGGAUAUGCGAAGAACAAGUGAGGAAACUGACAAGGGCUCAGGAGUGAAAUGCUUGGAAAGCUAUUUUCCAAGACAACAUUGCAUUGUCUUGGACACAACGGAGACACACCAAGGGAGAGAGCAGAAGGAUCAGUCCAUCUCUGUGGGGGAAGAACUUCAUCUCUGAUGUUUCGCAUUAUCUGGGCAUGGUGAUGAUAAGAAGCACAAUGACUUGUAGACAGCUUUAUUACUGUUUUGAAAACUCUGUAGGCAACAUAUCCCCUUCUUGUGUGCACCCAGGAGGGAUCACUCUCUCCACCCUGCUUUGGCUAUUUGGGAAGCCACCAAUUAUUUAUAUAUAAAAAAAGAAUGUUACAUUUUAAAAGAUUAUAUAGCAUCUGAAAUUAACCCAAUAAAGACUCAUCAGUUUCA